rnacentral:tRNA from 1 species
AUCUUUCUAGUACAAGGACAAUACGGGUGGCUUCCAACCACUUAAUCUUGGUUUAACUCCAAGGAAAGAUA